AUUCCAGCUCCAAUAGCGUAUAUUAAAGUUGUUGCGGUUAAAAAGCUCGUAGUUGGAUUUCUGCUGAGGACGACUGGUCCGCCCCCUGGGUGAGCAUCUGGUUCGGCCUGGGCAUCUUCUUGGGGAACGUAUCUGCACUUGAUUGUGUGGUGCGGUAUCCAGGACUUUUACUUUGAGGAAAUUAGAGUGUUUCAAGCAGGCCCGCGCCUUGAAUACAUUAGCAUGGAAUAAUAAGAUAGGACCUCGGUUCUAUUUUGUUGGUUUCUAGAGCUGAGGUAAUGAUUAAUAGGGAUAGUUGGGGGCGUUUAUAUUCCGUUGUCAGAGGUGAAAUUCUUGGAUUUACGGAAGAUAAACUAUUGCGAAAGCAUUCGCCAAGGAUGUUUUCAUUA
rnacentral:rRNA from 1 species